GUGGAACACACCAAGGGUCUCAUCCACAAGGAAGGGCUUUAACGCUCAGGGUCAGGGACCUCUGAGAGCUCUUGGGGGCUUGCGCGCCCUUGGAUGCUCUUGCGUUCAACAGGGCGAGGGGACUACCUGCUUGGGCGAGGAAGGCAGGCGCCUAGAGCCUUGGAGCUCCUGAAACGUUCCUGCCGCCUCCGGAAAGCAAGGGCAGUUUACCGAAGUGACUGAGGCCAAGUAUUUGCAAAACGGGCAGGGACCAGUAACUGAUUUUCAGUCCUUUGGAGAGGAAGAGGAAGAGAGAGGAAGAAAAGGAUUUCUAAUAGUAGAUAGUCACCGUCAUGGACUGUUUAGGAAACAGCAACAAAGACAAGAUUAAAUAAGUUGAUGUUUGUAAAAUGCUGACAAUGGUGCACAUAGUAAACACUGGAUAUGUGUUGAACAAGUACAAACAGACAGGAAUAGAUAACAUGAGGUAUAUGCUAAUCAUCUAAGAUGUUAGAAAAUACUGUUUAGAUCUGAAAAUGAUCAAGGUUGACAUGGUCAUUGAUUCAUCAAAUAACUAUGAAACAUAAUCAGAGGGGAAUAAGACUCAAUGAGUGCCUUCAAUAAAUUUGUGACUUAGUAGACAUUAAA